GACGUAGGGCGCGAGCGUUGUCCGGAUUUAUUGGGCGUAAAGAGCUCGUAGGCGGCUUGUCGCGUCGAAUGUGAAAUCUCAGGGCUCAACUCUGACAUUGCAUUCGAUACGGGCAGGCUAGAGUUCGGUAGGGGAGACUGGAAUUCCUGGUGUAGCGGUGGAAUGCGCAGAUAUCAGGAGGAACACCGGUGGCGAAGGCGGGUCUCUGGGCAGUAACUGACGCUGAGGAGCGAAAGCGUGGGGAGCGAACAGG
rnacentral:rRNA from 1 species